GACGGAGGAUGCAAGCGUUAUCCGGAAUGAUUGGGCGUAAAGGGUCCGCAGGUGGUAAUGUAAGUCUACUGUUAAAGCAUCUGGCUUAACUAGAUAAAAGCACCAGAAACUAUAUUGCUAGAGUAUGGUAAGGGCAGAGGGAAUUCAGAGAGUAGCGGUGAAAUGCGUAGAUACUCUGAAGAACAUCGGUGGCGAAAGCGCUCUGCUAGUCCAUAACUGACACUCAUGGACGAAAGCUAGGGGAG
rnacentral:rRNA from 1 species